rnacentral:rRNA from 1 species
UGGGGAAUUUUGGACAAUGGGCGCAAGCCUGAUCCAGCAAUGCCGCGUGCAGGAUGAAGGCCUUCGGGUUGUAAACUGCUUUUGUACGGAACGAAACGGUCUUUUCUAAUACAGAAGGCUAAUGACGGUACCGUAAGAAUAAGCACCGGCUAACUACGUGCCAGCAGCCGCGGUAAUACGUAGGGUGCGAGCGUUAAUCGGAAUUACUGGGCGUAAAGCGUGCGCAGGCGGUUUUGUAAGACAGAGGUGAAAUCCCCGGGCUCAACCUGGGAACUGCAUUUGUGACUGCAUAGCUGGAGUGCGGCAGAGGGGGAUGGAAUUCCGCGUGUAGCAGUGAAAUGCGUAGAUAUGCGGAGGAACACCGAUGGCGAAGGCAAUCCCCUGGGCCUGCACUGACGCUCAUGCACGAAAGUGCGGGGAUCAAACA